GAUGAACGCUGGCGGCGUGCCUAAUACAUGCAAGUCGAGCGAACAGACGAGGAGCUUGCUCCUUUGACGUUAGCGGCGGACGGGUGAGUAACACGUGGGUAACCUACCUAUAAGACUGGGAUAACUUCGGGAAACCGGAGCUAAUACCGGAUAAUAUUUCGAACCGCAUGGUUCGAUAGUGAAAGAUGGCUCUGCUAUCACUUAUAGAUGGACCUGCGCCGUAUUAGCUAGUUGGUAAGGUAACGGCUUACCAAGGCAACGAUACGUAGCCGACCUGAGAGGGUGAUCAGCCACACUGGAACUGGGGACCCGGCCAGGAUCCUUAGGGAGGCCGGAGUAGGGAAUCUUCCGGCAUGGGGCGAAGGCUGAAGGAGGAAACGCGCGUGAGUUAUGAAGGUCUUCGGAUCGUAAAACUCUGGUAUUAGGGAAGAAAAAAAGUGGAAGUAAAUGGGGACGGCCUGACGGUUCCUAAUCAGAAAGCCACGGCUAACUACGUG
rnacentral:rRNA from 1 species